CCGCGCGUCCCUGGGGCGGCUGCUGCCACUCCUGUGCCGGCUGCUGCUAAAAGAGGACUCGGCUCAGCCCAACUCCUGAUUAUCCCAGCACAGAGCUCGAGGCGACACUAACUCUUCAAAGAUGUUUAUAUAGCAGUAACCUUGGAGGGACCCUGAAAGAUGGAGACAAUAGUACCUCCAUCUGCAAUAAAGGAAUGAAGCUCAGGACAAAAUGCCUGACACAUAGAUACUCAUGCUGCCUGCUCGCUUGAUAAUCCAGGAGUUUUCAUCAUAACUGCUACCAGCAUCCCUGAAACUAUAGACAGUUCAUUUGUUACCUUAAAAGAAUUAGGAUUUCUUGAUAUAUUUUAAAAACUGCCUAAUAUCUUUCCCUAAAAUGGAACUGUUUGAUUAGAUUGGACAGACAGACAGAUAAAUAUAUGAUAGAUAAAUUAGAUACAUUAUUAAUAGAUCAUAGAUAGAUAGAUAGAUAGAUAGAUAGAUAGACAGAUAGAUUUUAUUGCUAUUGUUGUUACUUUGGAGUUCCAAAGCUUGGAACCACAACCUUUUUAGCAUGCUACCAAGCACUCUCCCUACCACUGAGACAUAUCUCAAGACUCUUAUCAUGGUAUUUUUUAUUAUUUAAAAUAAAUUUUAAGUUUAAAUAUAUUUUGAGCAUAUUCUUUCCUCCCCCCAAGUCUUUCCAGAUCUUUCCUCCCAUUCAUGUUUCUUCUCAAGAACAAAAACCCAAUACAAGAACAAAACCCCAAAACCAAUAAAACAGAGUAAAACCACACUCAAAAAGGAAAAAUUAAAACAAAACAAAACAAAAGCACCAAACUGUAAUGAAAUAAAAGCACAUGCGCAUGCGCGCGCG